rnacentral:piRNA from 1 species
UGAAAAUAUUGUCCCUUUCACUUUGACUAUC